rnacentral:misc_RNA from 1 species
GCUACAUUUAGGUGAUUGACUCGAUUAAUCCAAAAUUACAAAAGGAAAAAAUGAUUAUUAAAUUUCUAAAUAUAAAGAAAAAUCAAGUGAUAGGUUAACAUUACAAUAAUAGUGUUUUAAGAUGCGAUUAACCUGCAUUUAAUUCGGUGUUUGGGUGUUUGUUUAACAUAAUCAAUAAUACCCAUAAUAAUUAAGAAAAUAGAUUAAUACUUGAUUUUAUGUAUCAUCACUAAUUUGUUCUACU